CUUGUUGGCACCGGAAGUCAGCCACUUCCGGAUCUCGUAUCGCUCUCUACUACCUGGACUCUUCUCCAGCCUUUAUGUGGUGUGGGCUCCGGGACGGACCAAGGGCUGACCCCGCUGGAGAGAGAGCUCCAACCUCUGAGAAGUCUGCCAAGGUGAACACGAUGGCUCCUGUGCUCCUGACCUCCAGGGAUCACCAAGUACGUGACGCUUUCCUCUUUCCUGAAAUAACACCUUGGCUCUUUUCCACCUCCUCUAACCCAGUAAACUUAGUCUGUCAAAGAAUCAUAGAUUUAGUUCAG
rnacentral:lncRNA from 1 species